GUGAUGCUUUCUGAGCGUGUAAAGCCAGACUUGACUGCUGUUUCCUUUUCGCUUUCAGAGAAGACGCCAAAAGCGAGAGCUGUGGAUUUGGAGAAGUGGACGCUGAUAACCCCUGUCCCACACCUGAGAUGUCCCUGCUACCCCCCGAGGCCACCACCAGUUCAGUUUCUGAGUAAGAAAGAGAGAGAGGACAAUGAGAAAAGAAGAACAGAUCUUCAGUUCCAGAUCAAUACAUCGGAUGACAUGCGACACGUCGAGUAGGAAAGACGAAUUGCAGGGUUCGGCAAAACGGAUAAAUGUUAGUCAGUUAGCGAUGAGCUAGUCAGCGACGAGAAACGGAUGUUCAGACAGCCGGUCGUAUCCAAAACAGAUAGAUAGGGUCAAAUGCUUUACCGGUGUGCACCAGUAUACCUCUGUUGAGAGGUAUGCGUGUUAUACCGUUGAGGGGUGUAUAUAUACCUCUCUUUCUACCCCGCCUAAGGAGACUGAGAGCUGC
rnacentral:lncRNA from 1 species